AGAGUUUGAUCCUGGCUCAGGAUGAACGCUGACCGCGUGCCUAACACAUGCAAGUCGAACGGGAAUGCCGCGCUGAUGCGAUUUCGGUCAAAUCAUGUGGCAUUCGAGUGGCGGACGGGUGAGUAACGCGUGGGUAACCUGCCUUACACAGGGGGAUAACACCUGGAAACAGGUGCUAAUACCGCAUAAAUACUACAAAAAAGAAUGGGGGGGGGGUAUAUACUCCCUUUAUUAAAAAUAAACCCACAUCUAAUUAACUUCUUAUCAUUAUAACCCCCCACCAAAACAACUAUCACUAUCCUCCCUCAAAAAUUAAACAACCACAUUAACACUUAUACACAACCCAAACUCCUACAAAAAUCAACACUAACAAAUAUUUUACAAUCUCAAUAACCCUUAUCCAUCAACACCACAUAAUUUAAUAACUCCUUCCCUAUAUAAAUCUCUAUCAACAAAUAAUAAACAAAUAACAAUACCUUACCAACAAACCCCAACUAACUACNUNCCAACAACCACAAUAAUACAUANAUAUCAAACAUUAUCCNUAAUUACUAUUUAUAAAUAAAACAUAAACCCUCAUCCAACUCUAUANUAAAAAACANAANCCCAACCCCCAACCUCCUCUCUAAACUAUAUAACUUNAAUUCAUCACACCUAACCCCAAUUCCUANUNUACCUNUNAAAUNCNUANAUAUUCUUAGGAACUCCUNUCCCCUCNNCCNCUUCCUCCCCUNUNNCUNNCNUUNNNNCUCNNNNNCCUNCNNNCCCCCCUUAAGGANNUNCCCUNNUNNUCCNCNCCNUCCNCGAGCCCUUAAUGAGUCGGUGGGUAUGGACCCACCCGGUGCCGCAGCAAAAGGCAGUAAGUAAUCCACCUGGGGAGUACGUUCGCAAGAAUGAAACUCAAAGGAAUUGACGGGGACCCGCACAAGCGGUGGAGCAUGUGGUUUAAUCCGAAGCAACGCGAAGAACCUUACCAAGUCUUGACAUCUGGAUGACAGGGACGUAACGGUCCCCUUACUUCGGUACAUCCAAGACAGGUGGUGCAUGGUUGUCGUCAGCUCGUGUCGUGAGAUGUUGGGUUACGUCCCGCAACGAGCGCAACCCUUAUCUUCAGUAGCCAGCAGGUAAAGCCGGGCACUCUGGAGAGACUGCCGGGGAUAACCCGGAGGAAGGUGGGGAUGACGUCAAAUCAUCAUGCCCCUUAUGAUUUGGGCUACACACGUGCUACAAUGGCGUAAACAGAGGGAAGCGAGCCCGCGAGGGGGAGCAAAUCCCAAAAAUAACGUCCCAGUUCGGAUUGUAGUCUGCAACCCGACUACAUGAAGCUGGAAUCGCUAGUAAUCGCGGAUCAGAAUGCCGCGGUGAAUACGUUCCCGGGUCUUGCACACACCGCCC
rnacentral:rRNA from 1 species